AAGGAAGAGGGAAAAACAUUUAUUUAUGUACAUGUAUUUAUAUACAUUAAAAAAAUUCCAAUAUACUCCCUUGCUGGACAAACAAGAUUCCAAUGCAUUCUGUAAUACAGCCUUGUUCGGAAUGCUAGAAUCAAAUUCUCAAACCUUUAUUCCUUAUAAAAAGUAUCUUAAAACUAUCAGAGUUUCAAAUUAUCUGCUUGUAUGCAUGUAACUAUAUUAUCUUAUUGUUUAUUGAUAUUGGUACCCCACUGGCCUUCCAGUACCUGAAGGGAGCAUAUAAACAGGAGGGGGAACGGCUGUUUAUGAGGAUGGAUGGUGAUAGGAUAAGGAGGAAUGGUUUUAAACAAAGAUGGGGGGGGGGUUAGGUUAGAUACUGGGAGGAAGUUUUUCACCCAGAGAGUGGUGAAGCACUGGAACAGGUUGCCCAAGGAGGUUAUGGACACCCCAUCCCUGGAGGCAUUUAAGGCCAGGCUGGAUGUGGCUCUGGGUGGCCUGGUCUAGUGGCUGGUGACCCUGCCUGUGGCAUGGGGGUUGACACUCAAUGAUCAUUGUGGUCCUUUUCAACCCAGGACAUUCUAUGAUUCUAUGAAAAUAUGCCCUUGCGCAAUAAGCAAAACAAAGCAAUCUUCUUCAGACAGAUUUUCGUAAGUUUUUUCCCCUCAAACUUUUCCAGUAACUUCUACUUUUGCCUGCUGCACUGGAAGUCAUUACAGAACACUUACCCUUUUGUUCCCAACACCAUUUAAAGAUCUUAAAAACUUCUUCCUGAGGAGAUAAAGCAGCAGUCAGCAUUGGAUUAAGAGAAAGUAAUGGCGAGGAUGUACAUGACAGCAGUAACUCAAGUCUCCUCUCCCUCUGCCUCCUCAACCACAAAAAAGAAAUAUACAGCAACCUAACAGCAGCAGCAACUUAGUUCAGAAAGAAAAUGUAGCGAGAUUUAAAACCCAUACUGAUAAAUUACAAUAGCUUCCAAUACCUUUUGUACCCAAAAAUGCGUAUAGACUUGCUAUUUUCAGAUUUUGAAAUCAUAUACUUGUGAUAUAACUGGCCAAAACCUCAGCUGCAAUAAAUCAACACAUAGCCUGCUGAGACAGAAGAGAAAUCCGUUACUCCUAGCGUUUCUUUCUGGUUUUGCACAAUGAUGUUGCCAAUCUUCUUUUUUGAGGACUGAACACUAAGCUACUGGCAGCUUUGCCAGCAACCCAGCCAACCUGGUAAGGACAACUUAAUUCCACAGUGAAGUAUGGAAAUGAUGGACAGCAGUGGGUACAAGGCUGUAAGUAAGCAAGAGAUACCUCUACAGUAAUAAAAGAGGGUGAAAGACGGGCCACUUCAUCAUAUGUACAUAAAUACAGAUAGCUUGGGAAACAAGCAGGAAGGGCAGUAGCUCCAUGUGCAGUCACAGAUCUUCAGCAUUGUUCAAACUAUUUGAGCAAUGGUGAGAGAAUUCAUGCAACUGGAGUGCUGCAAUGGAUGAAUACCAGCUCUACAGUGACAGACUGAGCAGAAGAGGAGGAAGAAAAGAAGUUAAAGACAAGAUCACACCAAAGUGAGCACUUCCAUGAGACUGAUGAUGAUUCAGCAGAAAGUUUGCUGUUCAUGGUGGGAUGCCAGUAAGAGAGGAGCAGCAAUGGGAUUUGUUGCCCUUCACAACCUUAAUACAUUUCAAGAAGAGCUUCUAACACUACUUUAGUAGUAAAAAGCUGAACUGAGAAAAUACAAGCACACAGUUUAAAGGUGAGGGAGAUUUAGUGACAACAGAUAUGCAAAGCUGAGGUAUUCAAUGCCUUCUUUGCUUCAGUCUUCACUGGAAACUUAUCUAAGGUAUCUGUGGUCAGUGAAAGUAUUCAGAGAGAACAGUCAGUGCUGGAUAAGGAUUGAGUCACAGUUUGUUUUAGACAACGGAACCCAAGCAAGUCCAUGUGAUCAGAUCAGAUACAUCCAAGGAUACUGAGAGACAGUAAAUGUCAUUGGAAAGCUAUUCUCUGUCACUUUUUAAGGAUCUUGAAAACAGUAGUGAGGAAUAUAUUGCAAUCAUCUUCAGAAAGACCAAUAAAUUAUGUCUGGAGAACUGCAGGCUAAUCGGCUUCACUUCUUUGCCAGGGAAGGAUCAAGGAACAAAUCUUCCUGAAGCACAUUUCUAGGCACACACAGGAAAAUGUACUCAGCAAGAGUCAACAUGGAUAAACUGCAGACAGAAAGGGCGGUGAGGCAUUGAACAGGCUGCCCAGGGAAGUAAUAAAGUUGCCAUGCCUGGAGAUGUUUGACACGGGGACGUAGAGUGCUAAGGGACAUUAUUUAGUGGCAGACUUCAUAGCAUUAGGUGGAUGGUUGGAAUUGAUGAUUUUCCAGGUGUCUCUUCCACCUAAACUGGCCAAAGGGAUAUUCCAUACCAUAUGACAUCAUGGGGUAAAAACUUGAAAAUGGUGUGGAGUUUGCUGGGAAGCAGCUGCUGCUUGGGGACCUGACUGGUGGGUGGUGAGCAAUCUUCAUCAUCUUCUUGUACUGUAUGUAUAUAUAUAUAACAUAUAUUUAUUAUUAUUAUCAUUACUGUAGUCCUUUUUUCUCUUCCUUUUUUUGUUUUAGAAAAUAGUCUCUUCCCUUCCUCUCGCUUCCUUCCCCUCUCCUGCUUCAACUCCAGUCCAGGUCUGCUCCUGCAGUGGCUCUCCACAGGCUGCAGCCUUCAGUGGAUGGCUGCAGCCAUCCACUGCUGCACCUCGGGCUCCUCCAUGGCUGCAUUUGAAGAUCUGCUCUGUGCAGUGCUCAUGGGCUGCAGGGGAACAGCAUGCUGCAUUGUGGGCCUCUCCUGGUCUGGAGGGAGCUUCUGGUAUGUUCCUGGAGCAACUCCCGCCCUCCUCCUGUGCUGACCUUUGUGGCUGCAGGGCUGUUUCUCGCAGUUUCUCACUCCUCUCUCCCAGGUGUUGUAGUGUAGUUUUUCCCUUUCCUAAAUCUGCUCUCCCAGGGGCACAUCACACAGGGCUUAGCUCUGGUAGCAGUAGGUCCCUGUUGGAGCAGCUGGAGCUUGUUGUGAUCUGGCAUGAGGCAGUACUGGGCUCCACUCGAAGGCCACCCUUGCAGCCCCUCCUAAACCUAAAUCUUGCACCAUCAGCACAAUGCACUUUUGCAGCAAAUCAGACUGCACUGGAAGGAACACUUCUCCUUCCCAUUUUGCUUACUUUUAUCUUUAAUCGAAACAGCACUAUAUAGUUCAGAUGCAGAAAAAUAAAAUAAACUGUCCUUCAUUUUAGCUCAUGGGAUCUUAAGCCAAAAUAUUAUGAUCUUAAUUCCAGUUUGAGAGAAAAAGUAGUGUU
ensembl:lncRNA